GUUUAUCUUCGAGUUUGCCGUAAACGGCAAACAUCGUUUAUCGUAUGCGGUUUGUAAACAAACCGCUUGAAAAAACUUUUUUCGGAAACUAAUGUUUCCUGCAAAAAGUUUUUAGAGAG
rfam:Treponema denticola ATCC 35405, complete genome.